UACGAAGGGGGCUAGCGUUGCUCGGAAUUACUGGGCGUAAAGGGCGCGUAGGCGGCUCUGUUAGUCAGGCGUGAAAGCCCUGGGCUCAACCUAGGGAUUGCGCUUGAUACGGCGGGGCUUGAGGGCAGGAGAGGCUCGCGGAAUUCCCAGUGUAGAGGUGAAAUUCGUAGAUAUUGGGAAGAACACCGGUGGCGAAGGCGGCGAGCUGGCCUGUUACUGACGCUGAGGCGCGACAGCGUGGGGGAGCAAACAGG
rnacentral:rRNA from 1 species